GGUAGAGAGCAACAAAAGAUAUUGUAUUGAUUGAUUAGAGAAAAUGUAUACAAAUGAACUUAAGGAAAUGAUUGCUAUACAAUCCCUUAUAUAGCCAUAUUUCCCAAUUACAAUAAUACCCUUCUAACUAUAUUUCUGUUAUAUCAGUUAUUACUCCCCCCUCAAACUAAACUUGGAGUAUCCAAGUGAAGUUUGAACUAGCCAGGUAUUUGAGACUGAUCUGGAAUUGCGAGAGCAAAAUAUCUGCCAUGCUUCAAGAAUUAAGCUACUGCAAACAAGAAAGCACCCACUGACACUGUUGUAACUACUGACCAAACCGAUGCUCACCCCAUUAUCAUUACACAAGACUACAACUUUUGCCGUUGGUGAAGCCAUGAUGAAAGCCAUAAGUACAAUCCAGCUUUAUCUUUAACAUACCCAACAAAUUUUCGACAAUGAACUGAGAAGCCAUACUAACACACACUCAUUGUAUAUGCAAAUUAUCCAACCUAAAUCUUUAUAGCUUUACAGAGACUGGCACCAAAUCAACCAAGGAGAAUAACACUCCAAGAAACCAAAUCUACCAAGGAGAAUGACACUCCAAGAAACCAAAUCUACCAAGGAGAAUGACACUCUAAGAAACCAAAUCUACCAAGGAGAAUGACACUCCAAGAAACCAAAUCAACCAAGGAGAAUGACACUCCAAGAAACCCAAACUAACUAAGGAGAAUGACACUCCAAUAAACCAAAUCAACCAAGGAGAAUGACACUCCAAGAAACCAAAUCCAAAACAUAUAAUCCAAAUCAACAAUGGCAAGAAACACAAAGCAUCAUACAGUGAGAGAACUCGAACCCCCAAAUGGGUUUGGAGAGAUCAAGUUCAAGAAUCUAAUCAACGUCACAAUUCAGCAACAUAAUGCAGGAAAAGUAGAAAACCCAUCAAAAAAUCUCAACGCAGAAUAGCUUAAAAUGUCAACAGUCUCACCGGCAGUCACCAAACAGUUCGAUCUCGACCCAGAUGAACAGACCCUGCAAUGGAAAUGCAGAUGGGCGACAAAAACCCUAAGCAGAUUGGUAGGUCGCAGAGCAGAAGAGCAUAAGAAAGAACCAAAUUUCCAGAUCACUGAUCUCCUUGAGGCAUUUAGUUUCAUUCAGACAUUUUCACAAACACCAUAUAUGCAUAAAGAAUAUGACAGAUACAAGAAACAACCUGACAAAGUCCAAUAUCCCAUUGUCCAAUCAGCAACACAUAAGAGAAAUUCCGAACAGAACCCAAACGUCGGCUUAUCCUGGAGCUGGAUAAAGUUUAGCAAAAUCGCAAAGGAAGCAACAAAAUUCGAACAAUCGAUAGAAAGAAGAAGAAGAUGGGGACGUCACUAUGCCCAUUCGUGAAGGCCGGUCUGCCAUCAGAGCCAAGCAAGAAAGAGGUCCCACCCUGCUAAGCAGCAACAGCCAACCGCGCUGGGAGCUCUCUUCAAGGAAAAGUCUCAAUCUGCCAACGAUGUUUGGAGGAAACUCCUCUCUGAUCCUUUGCUUAUGAUUGGGGGUAUGGAUUUUAUUGACAACUAAUAUACCCUCUGAUGUCAACUAAUCCAUAUGAUUAUUUUCACCCAACAACUUUGCAGUAUUUACCUAGAUGAGCAACACGCAUACUCAUAUCUCAUCAGCAAGAGAACAUGAAGAAGAAGCAGUGAAUCAACGGUGCAAAGAAAUCAAACUCUGCUCUCAGUCGCAGAAACCUGAACCAGAGUGGACCCGAGCCAUUGAAGACCUUGAUGAAAAUAUGAAAAAUUCCCAAUUCAAGAACCAAAAAUCUCGAACCAUGACUGCCAAGGUUCUCUCGCAGCCUAACAGCGUCGUUGCAAACGGCGAACAGAACGGAGCACAGAAAGUCAACACAAGAACAAUCGCUGAAUCUAAUGGAAAUUUGAAGAGAAACUAAACUAGGAAGAAAAAAAAAAAGUAAACUACUACGAAGAUAAACCACCACCAGAAUCUAUGGCGUGAGCCUGAUGGCUUUGAUACCAUAUUAACUACAUUGCAAAAGAUAAAGAUUGGUACAGAGGAAGAGAAAGAAUUGAUAGAGAGCAACAAAAGAGAUUGUAUUGAUUGAUUAGAGAAAAUGUAUACAAAUGAACUUAAGGAAAUGAUUGCUAUACAAUCCCUUAUAUAGCCAUAUUUCCCAAUUACAAUAAUACCAUUCUAACUAUAUUUAUGUUAUAUCAGUUUUAAUAGUGACAAACUUUACAACUUUAAUGAAGGGGUCAGCUUUGAAAUCAAACACUAUAAUUCAUAAACCUUAAAUUUAUAUUUAACCGUCUAGCGGAUGUAAGAAGAUGAACGGUUUAGAUCUUUGAUAUCAUAUUUCGAUAUUUACGGUUAACUGAAAUAUGAGUCGAUGUCAUAUAGUUUGUAAAAACUUUAUAAACAUCAAGCAAUAUUUUUACUAACCGUAAAACUCUGAAUAUAAUAUCAACGAUCCAGGUCUACCACCAACAAAAACGACAUGAAUACGGAAAACACAACACGAAUGUCAAGUCUACCACCAACAAUCAGUUCUCUCUCUCUCUCUCUCUCUCUCUCAUUUCCGACCUUUUUCUUUGAACAAAGAACCAAGCUUCACCUACAUCCCUCACCCUCUUAGAUGCCCUCAAUCGACGACUCUCCCUCUCUCGAAAUCGACUCUCUAGUCUCUACCCACUUAGAUGUCAAUCCCGCUCUCCUCUGUUGUGUCCACGACUUAGAUGAGAUUGGAACUUCCACGGAGCGGGUACGUUAGUUUCCAACGGCGAAACAAAGGUGAGGUUCUUCCCUCAAGCAUUUUAUGAUAAUCUGGGUUGGUUUUGUUUGUGGGUAAAAUUUAUGAUAAUAUGUUUAGGUUGUGUUAUUGUUAUUACUUGGUUUUAAUCUUAGAUCUGUACUCACAGUUGAGAAAAUUGGAUUUUUAAUUGUAUUUUUGGAGUUGUAAAAUUCAUAAAUUUGAUCUGAACUCCAGAUUUCUGUGGGUAAUAAUUUCCAAGGUACGACAACGGAGCUUGUAUAUGUAUAUUGGUAGCAGAAAAAGAAAAAGUGGCAGUGGAGCUUGUCCAAAGAAAUAUGGGAGCUAAUGAAAAAGGGUCGACACUCCAAUAAUGCCAUGACGACGACCCCUGGAUUAGGGUCGAUGGAGGUGCAGCAAUCUGAAUCUGCUGCACACGUACUAUUGUUGCCGUUCCCAGCACAAGGCCACAUCGCUUCGAUGCUAAGCUUUGCGCAGCUGCUAUGCCACGCUUGCAUCCACGUCACCUUACUCAGUACGGAGCACAACCACUGUCUCCUCACCCAACGCCGUGCCCUCUCCGCCCUUCCACUUCCCAACCCUCCACUUCGAGUCCAUACCCGAUGGCCUCCCACUUACACCCCCCCCCCCCCCCGCACCAUUCCCCCCUUAGACGACAUCGUCCCGUCGCUCAGGUCCGUAACCAAGCCAUGCGUGACCUUCUUAUGACCUUAACCGAAAAGGACAAUGAGUCGUAUGGUGCCACCACCAGUCGCCGUCCUCCUUCGAGUUGUGUCAUAAUAGAUGGGAUGAUGUGUUUCGCGAUUGACGUCGCAGAGAAGGUGGGAAUUCCCGUACUUGCCCUCCCAUGUUGGAGCAAUAUUAGAAAAUAUAAAAAAUAUAAAAGAAUUCUAAUAAUAAUAAUUAUAAAGAAAUUCACAACAUCAAUAAUAUAUAUGAAAUUAAUAUAAACAACUAGAGAUAAAAUUAGAAAAAACUAACAAACUUGGAGAUUGAGGCUUGCAUAAAUGCAAUGUUCUAAAGAUAGAAUUUCGCCUCUACUCUUGUGCUUGUAAUUCGAUAGGCGUUCAUCUCCCAGGAUUCAACAAUCUAUAAUCCAAAGUUAAAGCACUUCAAUCUUCGGACUCUGGCCAACUUUAUAUAUUACAUACUCUCAAGACACGACUCAGAAUUUGACACACGAAGCAUGAAAGAAUGGGGAAACCCUAUUUCUCAAGAGUAAAAAUUAACUCUAAUUUUCUAUCCUUAAUGAUAAUGGUUUCGUGGGUUUAUAUAGAACCCAAAUACUUCUUGUUAAAGAUAUGUAACUUUUCAUCUAUUUAUGUAUAUAUCAUUUGACAAGGGAAUGCACCUAAAUAACAUAACUUUUCUAAGAAAUAUGGUUAACAUUAUUUUUCAUUCAAUUAUUAAAAUUAUAUAUUACAAUAUUUUAUACUAUAAUAUAUAAUUUCCAACAAUCCCCCACAUGAAUCAAAAAUCAGGAAGAAUUUGAGAGUACAGGCGAACAAGAGAUGCAUCGGGAGAGGUGUCUUUUGGACUUGAACCUACCCUAGUGAAUACUUAUCGGGUUUACUUGGUGACGCAGUGGAUGUAGAAGAUCUUGAAUUGUUCACCGUAGCAGUAAACCGAGACUGUGUGAUAUGAAACGCCACUACGGUGAACAAUUCAGGAUAUGAAACGCCAUAUUUGAAACAGAACUCUUCACUUUCUUUUCGUGGGUGUUGAGUUGAACAAGGAUUAAUGAAGACAAAAAUGAUUCUAUGAGUUAAGGAUUAAUUGAAGACAAGGUUGUGGGUGUGGGUCGGAGCUCCAGUGACUGUGCGGUUAUGGAGAAAGCUUUGGUGGCACUUGAUAAAGGCACCAUCUGCUCAUCGUGGAACUACUCCGGCCAAAGAUUAGCCAGUGGUUCCGCUGACGAAACCUUGCCAUCUUUGACUCACGCGACUCUUGUUCUUCGUCCUUCUCCUGCACCUCAAAAUCCAAGGUGCACGUACGAGGUUGUUGGAAUUGUGAAAAUUGCUUGGGUUCCAUCGAAAUUCAGUGCGGCAGUGGCGUGUGUCUGUGCAGAUGGAACUUUAUCAUUGAGGGAGUUGCUGAAGAUGCACAACCUCUUCAAUGGAAAAGAAUUUUAUUUCACAGUGAACAGCCACGUAAAAGAAGGUGAAGAAUCCUAUUUGGGUUUGCUCACCUCGUUAACAGUUUCAUCUUCCACCUAGUCAUUUUAACACACUAAAUUCCACGAAACUAUCGAUCAGUUAAAUCUAACUAUGUUGGACCAUUGAGUGUGCUAUAUGGGUAAUGUUAUCUUGAAUUUUUUCAACAAAAAAAAAUUAUUGUCAUGAAUUUCUUUUGGUUCUUUUUAAUGGUGGGUUGUUAGGGGAUAAGGUUCUCCAAAUUUUUAAAUUGUUGUGGGUGGUAGGGAAGGUCCAGAGUUGCCUAUUGUUGGAUUAUUUAUUUAUUUUGUUCUUGUUGAUGUAGAAAGAGAAUUAUUUGGCAUAUUCGGAAUUUCAAGAUAAAAAAUGAUAAGCUGGGUGUAGAAAGAGAAUAAAUGGGUCUAAAUAUAAUUUUCCUUGUUAGAAUUCUAAUUGGACUAAACUAAUUAGGAUAAAGGAGAAAUAUUGUGUUAAAAAUGCAAACUAUUCGGGUUGUAAAACGUGUGAAACAACAUCUUGAAAUUAAGGAAAAUACAUCGAUCGUGCUUUAAAGCCAACACUACUCCACAAACGUGAGGAACUGGAAGCAACAGUUAUCAAAGCAACCCACCAUGAUAGAUGAGAGUUGGUUGUUGUUGCUUCUAUUUAAAGGAAUUCCUUGCUCACAAAGAAAUAAUUUGAAGUACCAGGGUCUAUCACUAUAAGAACAUAACGGUCUUUAGUGAAUAAAAAUGCCUCUAUGUGUCUUUCCGGCCACCGAAAGGGAAGGAUAAUUGUGGCUUACCACCAAUUAUCCCCCUUUUUAAGAAGAAAGAAAACUACUGCAGUGGCUGCUUGAGGUAAGUUCAUGUACUCUAGUUGUGAUCUUGGGAUUGUGCUAACGAUAAUUAAUUAAGGUUUAUUUUUACACCAUCACACAAGUGAUGUCAAAACAUAAUUAUACAGCAAUAAAAAUAAAGUAAAGAUAUUUCUAGCGAAAGGAGGAAUCCUCACACAAGUGACAAACUAUCAUUGGAGACCAUUAGGAUUGAAAGAGACAUAUAUACGAGCAAAAUGUGACAUGGCGCAAAGAAAAAUGCUCCUUUUCAUAAAGUGGGUUUUCUCUCUCAAAACUUUUAUCAUCAAUAAGCGUUGGACAAUUUUACAAAAUCAAAAGAAUUGAUCAGAAUAGGUGCUAAUCCUCCUAAAAAAUGAGAAUAUUUUUGCGUAGCACCUUCAAGUGGUAGUGAUGCCUAUUUAACAUUGAUAUAUGAGUUUGAAUUGAGAUUUGGAUAGCUAUGACUGUUUUGCUUUUUUUGCGAAAUCCUCUCUGAGGCGUGUCAGGUACUCUGUAGGCAUAUCCCUUCAACCAAUGGGUUUGUUGCAAUAAAGGCGAGAAACAGAAGCACCCAUAAGACGCUACACUGCCUACUAAUGCAAAAUACCUGAAAAUGGCAGUAUUUGUGACAACCAGAGGAACAAAGUACUGACAUUACAAUUAAUGAAAGAAAUGCACAAACAGUAUGGACCCCAAAGCAAUGAGAAGAUCCGAGAUGUUCACAACAAUAACGCUGGCAACACGACUUUGAAGGGUUCAAAACCAUACAGCAUGCACCCUGUCCAAUCUACAUGUGGUUAUGCAAAUUAAUAAUCAAUUAUAAAGGUGCAAAUACACAAAAAAAUACGUGGUUAGUUACCAAGAAAUAAAGCAGCUGAUGUAAUGGCUCCAAGCCAACUGACUCCUGCAGUCAAACAUAGAGGUUGGUACACAAAGGCUACAAGUGACCAAGGUAAAGAAGCCAAGAUGUGAAGCCCUACAUACACGUAUGAAAUCAGAAAAGAGACAACCUCAAACAAAAUUCUGGUUAAGUUUACCUGAUUAACUAUUAGAAUAUAUUACAAACUAACCCCUAUCUCCAAAAGACGAGAGAAACCAGAACAAAUUCUCAAUGUUUUAAACAAGUAAACUAAAUAAGAUUAUCAAGAGCAUUUAUUGCCUCGAUGAGAAGUCAACAUCUCUCUUUCCUCUGGCUUUCAAAUAUCAAUAAAGGUUUAAGGUGGUAACAAUAUUCACUGUAGAGCAUCUAUACAAGAUAAUGAAAGGGAAAAGAGAAUUCAAUGAUUUCAGAGAUGCGACAAAGAUCCAGUAAAUGUGAAAAAAACUAACAUACCUGCUAAAUGUCGAGGAUAUAAUUAUUAGGGUCUGGUUUCUGUAAACAUGCACAAGGACUACUUCUAUACAAUCAGAAUAAGCAAACUUAUAUGCCUUCCUCACAUAUCAUCGACAUCUAAGCAUUCCCUGCCAAUUGAGUUUAGAGAACGUUUAAAGGAGGAAACCAAUUGUAGAGAAUAAUGACGGCCAAAUUACAAAAUGUUCUUGAGAUAAAAUCUCAACUGAGAGCAUGCAUGCUAACAGGAUAAAAAAUUGCAAGGUGUACAUUAACACCAUUAAGAAUGUUGAUUGCCAGCAACGGCUGAGACGCCAAAAAGAAACCAGGGCGAAUACUGCUUGAGAUGCUUUUGAACCAGCUGUAACAUACACAGCACAAAGUGCGUACACACACAGGGCAGAAGAAGAGAAUAGCAACAGCCCUGUUAAGAAAAAGUAUAAACCAGUUUAAUGCUUACCCAAAACAAUAAACAAAACUUUUAUAAGAAUGAAUACAAUAAAAGUGCAGCUCGUGUUUAAAUAUCAAAAACAUAAUUGAAUGGAGCUACAUCAUCAAUAUUAUCUUCCACAUGAGUACACUAGACCAUUGAGUAUUCCCAUCACAACUUGUAUUGAUUUAGAAUGAAUGCUAUUUGUAGCAUUGUUUUGAGAAACUGAACUCAACUUAAUGGAGGGGAACCUUCUGUGCGUUAUAAGCACAUUAAAUGGGAGGAGGUUCACUACUCUAAGAUUGGGUACUCCAUAUUUUCAAUUGUUUUUAUGGUGGAACCUCAACUUCUUCAACAUUCCUAUACUUUGUACUUCAACGGAUUGGAAGGGAGCUGAGACAGACUUGCCAAGCUCUAAUAUCAUGUUAGCAGCUUAGCUACGAUGUUCAUUCAUGUAUAAUCAAUCUAACCCCAUAUAUCCCAUUACCAACUUGACACAUUUUUGUUCGUGUGUCGUCUUUGCUGAUCUCCUAUAUCCCAUCACCAACUCAUCAAUCAUAUCAAGCCGAAGGCUUCAUUUACAUUUAAAUAAGAAACCAUAUUUUCUUUAAGGCUAACUUAGAUGGUUCAUUCUCAUCAUCUUCAAACCUUCAGGUUUUACUAUCUAUUCGCACAGUUUAUGUCAUACAAGGAAAAAAGAAAAUUGAAUUAAAAGGUCCAGGAAUACAUACUCGAGCUCUGCCAUUGUGUUCGCCACCAAGCAUGAUUGAAUAGAAAACAGUAGAAGAGCAGUGCCAGCCAUUAUUACAGCCAGACCAACUAUAUGUCGAUCCAAUAUUACAACCAACCAGCUUCCCCAUAUGAUCAGUACUAGAACUGGAGAAAUAACGAGUAGCCAUGCGGAAAGAGACAGAAAGCCACAUACUAAAUCCAGCUGAGGUCCAUGGAAGAUACUCGGCCAUUUCCUGGCAAAGAUCCAACUGGAAAAAACAUACAGAAGUGAUAGUAUUAAGUUUGAAGUUAAAUAGAUGCUGCCUUUCUCAAGUUCUUACACAAAUAUAAAUCCCAGAAUUGCAUACUGAAUGCAGCCCUUAGCCUCUGUUUUAUAGAAGAGUUAAACCCAGCAAUAAAUCCCCAAAUGACCUUACUUUAACAGUGCAAUCUUGAAACUUCAAUCUAACUACAGCUUAAUUCCCUAAUAUUAACAAAUGCAUUAAUGCAGCCAUAAAUUAAAUUUAAUCGAUGCAUUUAGUUUCUCUCUAGGCAAAGAUGGCAACUAAAAGUUUCAAAAGAAUUAUAAAAUAUGAUUACCUGUAGAUCCUCCAGGGCCUCCAAUUCACAAGCCACAGUAUAGAAAAUGAAGCAGAACCCAAAACCGAGAAAAGGGUCCCCGAAAUCACGCAUGCCAGCAGCAGGUGACGCUCAUCCCCUUCCAUGGCUUCCCUCUCUCACCUACGCAACGCAUGCAUCCGAGCACAUCUCCCAAAUUCCAAAUAAGAACCGGAAAGCAACAAAAUUCAGCCAAAAAAAAUAAAAUUUCCCCAAUGCCCCCUUCACCACUAGCCCGCAAUGGCAUGGAAUGGAAGUAGCAAUGGUGGGGAAUUCAGGGCAAAUGGGUCAUUUUGGAAGUGGUAUUUGGGGUCCAAAACUAGGGUUUGGAGCAGAAAAUUGGAGCUGGGCAGGUGGAGAAGAACAAGAGUGAAAGCCCAAGGUUUUUGAGUAAAAAAUAGCAGAAGAAAGGAAGAAGAACANNNNNNNNNNNNNNNNNNNNNNNNNNNNNNNNNNNNNNNNNNNNNNNNNNNNNNNNNNNNNNNNNNNNNNNNNNNNNNNNNNNNNNNNNNNNNNNNNNNNNNNNNNNNNNNNNNNNNNNNNNNNNNNNNNNNNNNNNNNNNNNNNNNNNNNNNNNNNNNNNNNNNNNNNNNNNNNNNNNNNNNNNNNNNNNNNNNNNNNNNNNNNNNNNNNNNNNNNNNNNNNNNNNNNNNNNNNNNNNNNNNNNNNNNNNNNNNNNNNNNNNNNNNNNNNNNNNNNNNNNNNNNNNNNNNNNNNNNNNNNNNNNNNNNNNNNNNNNNNNNNNNNNNNNNNNNNNNNNNNNNNNNNNNNNNNNNNNNNNNNNNNNNNNNNNNNNNNNNNNNNNNNNNNNNNNNNNNNNNNNNNNNNNNNNNNNNNNNNNNNNNNNNNNNNNNNNNNNNNNNNNNNNNNNNNNNNNNNNNNNNNNNNNNNNNNNNNNNNNNNNNNNNNNNNNNNNNNNNNNAGCACUUCUUUGGUUUGGGACUUAUCACCGACGAAGCUGCUCAUGGUUAUCCCUGAUGGGUUGAGUUCGUCGUCGGAUCGUCGUAAUGCUUUCAUGACGGAUACGGGCAUGAUAUUGACCGUCGUCCCGCAAUCGAUGAAUAUUUUGGAGAUUGGGUAACCUUCAAUGUGGGCCGUGACACACAACGGCUUUAAAUGUUGAAGAUUAGCCGAGGAUGAGCAAGGAAACAAUAUGGCCAGGGUUGUUUUAAGUUUGUCGUCGUUGUUUGCUUGCUCUUCUUUAGCGGUGUUGACGAAAUCAAAUUGUGUUGCUUCCUCGACCACCACUUCACCAUCCAAGAAGUUUGGUUGGUGUGUAGUUAGCUGGAAUUUAGCAGGUAGGAUAUGAACCAUGCUGAUUUCCAUAUUCUCGAAGACUGAAAGGCCCAUUGGAUCUUGGUCGUCAUCUUCCGGGUUAUCGAGGAUUGUAACAUUGUGCGUUAGAACAUCCUCGGCUUGAUUAAUGUGCGCCUCAACAGGUACUUGCUCUUGUGCGAUGUAACCCGACCUUACUUCCUUCUGACUGUUGUCUUCGAACCCAUUCGUUUUUGGUGUCUGAUUUUGCCCAUGCAAUGCCUUACAAGCUCGUUUCUCAUAGGCAAUCCGAGCGUCAUUUGUGUCUAAGUAGGCGUCCAGUCGCGCCACCUGAUCUUUUUCAUCAACCGUAAGAUCGAAGAGAAAUACGACCGAAAAAACUUCGAAGUGGUGUCACAAAUAUUGAAGGUCGUCAAGAGAAAAAAGAAGCUCGGCUAUAUCAAUGUCGGUGUAUGGAUCGACUUCGAAGCCAAGGACCCUGGCUUUUCGUAUGUUCUGGAACUUGGCUUUCAUUGCUGGAUCAGUGGUUUUUUGGAUAAUAUAUUCAGCAUCAGGGUAAGUUAGUGCCAAGUCGAGGGCUUUUUUACAUGCCUUAGGCAGACCGUACAAGUCAUUGGCAGAAUGUUUCUUUAUGAAAGUCGCGCAUGUACUCCAAGGAUUCGCCGAGGAAUGGAAGGUGUAGGUUUCGCCGGACCUUUAUUAAUGAAACUUGCAGGGGCAAUGAGGGAAACUUAUUUUCAGCUUCUUUUCUGAAAUGCUCGAAAUGAGUUUUCAUCUCCCCAGGCCGAAUAAUGAGUUUGAUGCGUUUCUUAAACUCUUCAAUGGUGGUUUCAAAGUCGCAAUCAACUGCCUUUUUCUCUUAAAGUAAUUCGGCCAUGAUGGUCGGGGUACGUCGGUUAUCGUCGCUUCCUGUUGCCUCUUUUGGCUGCCAUUUAGUAGUCGGAAUAGCAUGUGCUGCCUGUCGUCGAGCCAUGCAAUAUAUCCAUUGGCGUCAACGUUUUUGAGAUUUAGAUAGUGCAGUAUACAUACCAGUAAGGGAAUUGUAACUGUACCAACAUUGAUCACGUGGCUCAGGCGGUUUGAAGGUUUUUUUUAUUCGCCGACGAACUUGAGCUGCUGGAAUUAUGCGAGUAAUAAUCCUCGUUAUAAAAUGGCGCGUCGAAGUCAAUGUGCCGUUUGGCCAAGGUAUGACCAUAUGUCCAUUCCUGAGAACCGAGCCUAGCAAACACUUUUUGGCGUUGGCCUCCGCCAAGUUCUUUCAGGGGUGUCAUCGCAGACUUAGAUGGUUGUCGUGGUGUUGAUCUCUCCUUGGGUUCGGUUAAUACGACGCGUGCCCUACAAUUGCUACACAAACCAUUGGCUUAUCAAUUUCUUCUGCACUAGAAUCUGACAUAGAUUCGACUACAGCUGGUCCCGAAAAAUCAGUGGGUGGUCAUCCCUUUUUAUAUGGCCUAAUCGAUCAUCCGUUUGACCUCGAUCAUAUCGACGAAUAUUGCUUCCAUCAUCUGGUCGGAUCCAUCUGACCUACUACUUGAUCCUCCCUUUUUUUCUAAGUCAAUCAUUUUGGGCCGAGUAGACACUACUUCGGCCUAUAUAGCGAAUUACUUCUUAGUGGAAGCUGUCGAGCCUGAUCAACAGAUCCUCAUUCAAAUACCCUACUAACUAAUAACUCGACCAAUUUGGUGUGGGUCUCACCAUUACUUCGUAUUACCUCGAGAAAAUUGUUCAUUUUUUUAACAACUGUCUGUUCAACUUGUCGAGAUUGCUUAUCAAGUCGCAUUCGGAGAAACGACCUAGUUGGAGGGUCAAAACCUUCACCACCGUCUUCGUCGUAGUCCUUCACUAUUUUUUCAAUGAAAAUGUCGGCGGUUCGAUUGGGUAAUGCUCUGUUUCAAGGUUGGGUAUCGAGGUAAACUUAAUUUUCUCGGUGUGUCACACUUGCAGCCUCAAGGGUCACAACAACGAUUGGAUUUCGCGCAUGUGACACUUUUUGUCCAAGACUCUGAACCGGCAGAUUGGUCGCUGAUUUUCCCAUGGUUGUUUUCUUUUUUACUGAUCAUGUCUCGAUGGUCAUGUACUUCGUAGUUUUAACAUUGGGCUAACUACAUCAUUUGGUUGUGUGCGGGGCGUGCCAACUUGUCGGCCGAGCUCGGUCGAGGAGUAAAAUUUGUUGAUGUCGCGUUGGGUGCGCUGCUGACUUCUUGAUCUUACGACUGCGGCCAAGGAAUGAACAUGUCUCAGCCUUCGAGUUUUAGAGCCUGAAGACAAGGCUACUAGCUCUGCGAAGUUCACAAAUCGUCGGCGUCAAAUUCAGUCACAGUGAUUAUUUUCGUAAGAGUAUAAGCACGACGAAUCGACACCAGAGUAUAGAGACACAGAUACUCAAAACAAAUGUACGUCUUGAUUGUGAAAGUGGUUCGGCCGUCAGAAUGCCGAACUCUAAAACCUACUUGUGAAUAACCAACCAUCAACAACUCGACGUUCAAUGUGCCGAGCCUAGUAAUUCGUAACACCUCACUUCACCGAGAAGGCUAAUGGGAUGACCUCUGCCAAUAAAGACUCGAAAAUCCUUCUCAAUUAAGACUUGGAUAGAUAACUAGUCAGCCUCGACGCAGUGCUAUUUAUCCAAACUGAAGGUGUGCCGCGGUCGGUUGAUUCUACGGCAACAAUGUUAUUUAUCCACACUGAAGACAUUCACCGGUUGCCUUCAUAGUGCUGUUUAUCCAAACUGAAGAUGUGUUGGCGAAAGAAGAAAAUAAAAAUCUCAAGAUAGUUGAGAGGUUUCGUAAAAGCGAGGGUUUGCGCAAGGCAGUUUAUGUGUUGAAUUGAAGGGGGUUGAAUGGUAUCAUCCUCCCCUUAUUUAUAAUAGUUAACCUGCUUCCGAUCGAAUCAUAACCAUUCUCGGAUCAGGACUCAUUUCCUCGAUCCUCCCUUAUUUUGGCCAGUCCUACUUCUACUAGGACUUUGAACUCAACCCGUUAUCAAGCCGGAUUCAAUCCCAAACUCCAAUAUCCUUAUCUUAUCGAAACUUCUUCUCGUAUCAAGAUUCAACAACCCAUGGAUUCCUAAUAGGACACAGUCGGCCUUGGCUAUGUGGCCCAUAAACCGAAUGACCCCCAAUGAUUCAUAAGUACGGCCUCUGGGCCGAGAACAAUUUAGUGCUCGGCCCAAACCAAUAUUUUGGGCCCAAACACAUACAUACACAUAUGAAAAAUGUGAAAGAAUAUAUAAACACUAGUGAUUCAUCAUUAUUCCUCCACGAGUAGGUAAUGAUUACACUUGCAUUAUCGUUUAGAUUUUUAAAAUCCUCCAAACCUUCGUGAAUAAUGUUUUUUUAUUUGAGGGAAAAAUUAAUAAAAUUAAUAAUUAUUAUUGUAGAAGUGUAAAAAAUGUAAAAAAAAAUAUACAAUCACUCAUAGUUAUUAACUACAUUGCAAAAGAUGGAGAUUGGUACAGAGGAAGAGAAAGAAUUGGUAGAGAGCAACAAAAGAUAUUGUAUUGAUUGAUUAGAGAAAAUGUAUACAAAUGAACUUAAGGAAAUGAUUGCUAUACAAUCCCUUAUAUAGCCAUAUUUCCCAAUUACAAUAAUACCCUUCUAACUAUAUUUCUGUUAUAUCAGUUAUUACUCCCCCCUCAAACUAAACUUGGAGUAUCCAAGUGAAGUUUGAACUAGCCAGGUAUUUGAGACUGAUCUGGAAUUGCGAGAGCAAAAUAUCUGCCAUGCUUCAAGAAUUAAGCUACUGCAAACAAGAAAGCACCCACUGACACUGUUGUAACUACUGACCAAACCGAUGCUCACCCCAUUAUCAUUACACAAGACUACAACUUUUGCCGUUGGUGAAGCCAUGAUGAAAGCCAUAAGUACAAUCCAGCUUUAUCUUUAACAUACCCAACAAAUUUUCGACAAUGAACUGAGAAGCCAUACUAACACACUCAUUGUAUAUGCAAAUUAUCCAACCUAAAUCUUUAUAGCUUUACAGAGACUGGCACCAAAUCAACCAAGGAGAAUAACACUCCAAGAAACCAAAUCUACCAAGGAGAAUGACACUCCAAGAAACCAAAUCUACCAAGGAGAAUGACACUCUAAGAAACCAAAUCUACCAAGGAGAAUGACACUCCAAGAAACCAAAUCAACCAAGGAGAAUGACACUCCAAGAAACCCAAACUAACUAAGGAGAAUGACACUCCAAUAAACCAAAUCAACCAAGGAGAAUGACACUCCAAGAAACCAAAUCCAAAACAUAUAAUCCAAAUCAACAAUGGCAAGAAACACAAAGCAUCAUACAGUGAGAGAACUCGAACCCCCAAAUGGGUUUGGAGAGAUCAAGUUCAAGAAUCUAAUCAACGUCACAAUUCAGCAACAUAAUGCAGGAAAAGUAGAAAACCCAUCAAAAAAUCUCAACGCAGAAUAGCUUAAAAUGUCAACAGUCUCACCGGCAGUCACCAAACAGUUCGAUCUCGACCCAGAUGAACAGACCCUGCAAUGGAAAUGCAGAUGGGCGACAAAAACCCUAAGCAGAUUGGUAGGUCGCAGAGCAGAAGAGCAUAAGAAAGAACCAAAUUUCCAGAUCACUGAUCUCCUUGAGGCAUUUAGUUUCAUUCAGACAUUUUCACAAACACCAUAUAUGCAUAAAGAAUAUGACAGAUACAAGAAACAACCUGACAAAGUCCAAUAUCCCAUUGUCCAAUCAGCAACACAUAAGAGAAAUUCCGAACAGAACCCAAACGUCGGCUUAUCCUGGAGCUGGAUAAAGUUUAGCAAAAUCGCAAAGGAAGCAACAAAAUUCGAACAAUCGAUAGAAAGAAGAAGAAGAUGGGGACGUCACUAUGCCCAUUCGUGAAGGCCGGUCUGCCAUCAGAGCCAAGCAAGAAAGAGGUCCCACCCUGCUAAGCAGCAACAGCCAACCGCGCUGGGAGCUCUCUUCAAGGAAAAGUCUCAAUCUGCCAACGAUGUUUGGAGGAAACUCCUCUCUGAUCCUUUGCUUAUGAUUGGGGGUAUGGAUUUUAUUGACAACUAAUAUACCCUCUGAUGUCAACUAAUCCAUAUGAUUAUUUUCACCCAACAACUUUGCAGUAUUUACCUAGAUGAGCAACACGCAUACUCAUAUCUCAUCAGCAAGAGAACAUGAAGAAGAAGCAGUGAAUCAACGGUGCAAAGAAAUCAAACUCUGCUCUCAGUCGCAGAAACCUGAACCAGAGUGGACCCGAGCCAUUGAAGACCUUGAUGAAAAUAUGAAAAAUUCCCAAUUCAAGAACCAAAAAUCUCGAACCAUGACUGCCAAGGUUCUCUCGCAGCCUAACAGCGUCGUUGCAAACGGCGAACAGAACGGAGCACAGAAAGUCAACACAAGAACAAUCGCUGAAUCUAAUGGAAAUUUGAAGAGAAACUAAACUAGGAAGAAAAAAAAAAAGUAAACUACUACGAAGAUAAACCACCAGAAUCUAUGGCGUGAGCCUGAUGGCUUUGAUACCAUAUUAACUACAUUGCAAAAGAUAAAGAUUGGUACAGAGGAAGAGAAAGAAUUGAUAGAGAGCAACAAAAGAGAUUGUAUUGAUUGAUUAGAGAAAAU
rnacentral:lncRNA from 1 species